rnacentral:rRNA from 1 species
AUUGAACGCUGGCGGCAGGCCUAACACAUGCAAGUCGAGCGAGCGGCGGACGGGUGAGUAAUGCCUGGGAAUUGCCCAGUCGAGGGGGAUAACAGUUGGAAACGACUGCUAACACCGAAUACGAUUGGAUUGCCCAGGUGGGAUUAGCUAGUUGGUGAGGUAAAGGCUCACAACGGCGACGAUCCCUAGCUGGUCUGAGAGGAUGGUCAGCCACACGGGAACUGAGACACGGUCCAGACUCCUACGGUAGGCAGCAGUGGGGAAUAGUGCGCAAUGGGGGAAACCCGGAUGCAGCCAUGCCGCGUGAGUGAAGAAGGCCUUCGGGUUGUAAAGCACUUUCCGCGAGGAGGCGUUACUCGCAGAAGAAGCACCGGCUAACGCCGUGCCAGCAGCCGCGGUAAUUC